rnacentral:misc_RNA from 1 species
AACACCUCAAAGCUUUUGGAUUUUUUAAUCGAAAAGCUUUGGACUUGAGCAAUCCCAACACCAAUCUUUUUGAGAUCGGUGGCGGGUUGCUUGAAAUGCAGGUGCAGCUGGACAUUCUCCUGAGCUAAAAGCAUAUCAAUAAGCGGAGGCU